rnacentral:rRNA from 1 species
GAUGAACGCUGGCGGCGUGCUUAACACAUGCAAGUCGAACGGUGAAGCAGAGCUUGCUCUGUGGAUCAGUGGCGAACGGGUGAGUAACACGUGAGCAACCUGCCCUGGACUCUGGGAUAAGCGCUGGAAACGGCGUCUAAUACUGGAUACGAGACGUGGCCGCAUGGUCAACGUUUGGAAAGAUUUUUUGGUUCAGGAUGGGCUCGCGGCCUAUCAGCUUGUUGGUGAGGUAAUGGCUCACCAAGGCGUCGACGGGUAGCCGGCCUGAGAGGGUGACCGGCCACACUGGGACUGAGGCACGGCCCAGACUCCUACGGGAGGCAGCAGUGGGGAAUAUUGCACAAUGGGCGAAAGCCUGAUGCAGCAACGCCGCGUGAGGGAUGACGGCCUUCGGGUUGCAAACCUCUUUUAGCAAGGAAGAAGCGAAAGUGACGGUACUUGCAGAAAAAGCGCCGGCUAACUACGUGCCAGCAGCCGCAGUAACAC